AUCAAUACCAUAUUGCAAUCAACCUGACAGGGCGGAUAUGUAGAAUCCGUUCCGUGUUUUCCAGCUCACUUACUGCGCUAACUGAGAUAUUCAAUUAAGGAUUCCUCUUCCCACUCUGAAGCGGCUCUCCAGGGCACAUCUUCCGAGCGACCCACCCUAUGUUAGAAAUAGGAAAAUCCAAUAAUAACAACACUAGAAAAAAAAAAAAAUAUGAAAAAAAUGAGGCAACUUUGAUCACGCAUGCUCCCUUGUCAUCCACCUCACACACAACAUUUGUUCUAAGUUGGAAAGUCGCGGAAAAGCCAGGAAGUAACGUUACAGUAAGCCAAUCAGUUGAGGGGAAGCAUCUCGUGUUUUAAAUGCCUGUGAUAUCCAAGAGAAGGGACAAGCUUGGCUUGGGGCACCGUCCCACAGUGUUGAUCUACAACGUGUCUGUGGAAUGUGGUGGCAUGUGGCUCGUGCCCAGAGACGUGCUUCCAUCUGGACAGCCAUCCAGCUCCAACUGUCAAGAGCAGUUUUACAGGUGUUGAUCAGUCUCAGGAUCCAUCUGCCUUGAAUAUUCUCUUCCUCACUUCUUCAUCUCCAUCCCUGCUGUUUGUCCUUUAACUUUUGACCACUGUUAAGUUGUGCUGGAGUGUAUGCCGUCAAUGGUGAUUGUACAUUAUGCACGUAAGUAGCAGAGAGAGAGUUUUAGUGGAGUUUCCGUGAUGUCUUCAAAGGUAUAGUUCAACCAGAAAUGAAAAUUUACUCACCCUUAGGCCAUCCAAGAUGUAGAUCAAUUUGUUUCUUGGUCAGAACAGAUGUAAAUUAGUAGAGAAAUGUAGAUCCUCUGCAGUGAAUGGGUGCUGUCAGAAUGAGAGUCAAAACAGCUGAUAAAAACAUUACAAUAAUCCACAUGACUUCAGUCCAUCAAUUAAUGUAUUGUGAAGCGAAAAGCUGCAUGUUUGUAAUAAAUUCAGCAUUAAGUUGUUUAACUUUAAACAUCACUUCUGGCCAAAAUACUAGUCCAUAAUACUUCCCCCAGUGAAAAAUCCCAUCCCCUGUUGCCCUUUCACAUCUAAAUCCACUAACGCAUUUGUUUAGAAUGGUUUUGGUCUGUGCAUAUCUCGCUCCUGAUUUAGACGAAACAACUCUUUCACUGUUGAAAGCCAUAUUAUGGAUAGAGGACUUGCAUUUUAAAAUGAAAAAUGUUGAUGGAUUUGUUUCCAGCAGCUUUUCCCAUCACAAGACUUUAAUUGAUGGACUGAAGUUGGGUGGAACAUUAUUUAACUUUUUUUUUUUGUGAUGUUUUUGUCAGUUGUUUGGACUCGCAUUGUGAUGGCACCCAUUAACUGGUGGCCAAGUGAUGUAGUGCUACAUUUCUCAAAAUCUAUUCGGUUGAAAAAACAAAUUCAUCUACAUCUUGGAUGGCCUGAAUGGGAGCACAUUUUCGGCACAUACAUAUAUUUUUUCUGUAAACCAUUCCUUUUUCAGUCAACUUCAAAAGCUAUAUUUGAGGUUUUGCUGAUUUACUGCAAGUGUCAAGGAGCUGGUGCUACCUGCGACCUGUUUUCUUUGUCUCUCUGACCUUGGCUUUGAACCCAUAACCCUUGUGUUUAAAUGCACAUUCAUGAUUCUGCGCUGUGCUUGACAGCUCUCGAGAUGUAAUGCAAUUGCUUUUUUUACACCACCACUUUGUAAAUUGCUGGCUGUAAUGAUUUGGUGUCUGUAUUCACACUAUUGUGAUCCUUGUAAAAAUUUCCGUUCUCAACACGCUGGCGUGCGUAGGCCUCAUGUUUGUUUAAUAGUCAUUAUUAUUUUUGUUUUAGUGCACUGGAAAUGUCCUCUUUGCAUGCUUGAUCAACCAGUAGGGAAAUCUAAUAUAAUUGAGGUUCAAGGUGAAUUGCAUCCUGAGCAUUUCUCCUUGACAGAAAGAGCAUGCAUAUAUUUGAGCAAAAAUAAACAAAUCACACUGACAACAGUAAUAUAGGCUUGAUUUUGAAGGCAUGGAAUAAGUAUCGAUUUAAGCCUUCACUUCAUAGAUGAAAAUGGCCUUUUUAGUAAUUUGUCCUGGGUCCUUUCAAUGCAGGAGGAGGUGAGCGAGAGAAACAGUUGGGGGGUGGGGUUGAGAGAGAGAGAGAGAGAGAGAGAGAGAGAGAGAGAGAGAGAGAGCUAACAAGACAGAGAAAGGGACAUACUGCCCCUUUCCGAGCUCAUUAUCAUUCUUAAUAAGUCUUAAGGAAAGAAGGAGCAGUGAGUGUAAAUGCAAGGUAAUCCUAACACUGGCCAAGGUUACUGGGGACAAAGGCACAUGCACACCCCUCCCUGCUGGUUGCACUGGGACACAGAAUGAGCCGUACCCCCAGCAGCACUUACAGAGCCCUCCUAGAUGCCUGAAGUGUAUGAACUGAUGCUUUCUUCAC